rnacentral:tRNA from 1 species
CUAUAGUUCAGCGGUAGAGCGCCAGAUUGUGGAUCUGGUUGUCGUGGGUUCGAUCCCCACUAG